UAAACAUUUUGCAAUAACUUUUGCUAUAUUGAAGAUAGCAACUUCAUAUUUGGCAUGCUUGUGUAUCUCAUGAAGCUGCACAUUUUGAGUGGUGAAAGGUCAAGGUCAUCCUUUAAGGUCAGAGGUCAAAUAUAUGUGGCCAAAAUCGCUCAUUUUAUGAAUACUUUUGCAUUAUUGAAGAUAGCAACUUGAUAUUUGGCAUGCAUGUGUAUCUCAUGGAGCUGCACAUUUUGAGUGGUGAAAGGUCAAGGUCAUCCUUCAAGGUCAGAGGUCAAAUAUAUGUGGCCCAAAUCGCUUAUUUUAUGAAUACUUUUGCAAUAUUGAAGAUAGCAACUUGAUAUUUGGCAUGCAUGUGUAUCUCAUGGAGCUUCACAUUUUGAGUGGUGAAAGGUCAAGGUCAUCCUUCAAGGUCAAACGUCAUAUAGGGGGACAUUGUGUUUCACAAACACAUCUUGUUUUUAA